rnacentral:rRNA from 1 species
AUUGAACGCUGGCGGCAUGCUUUACACAUGCAAGUCGAACGGUAACAGGCCUUCGGGUGCUGACGAGUGGCGCACGGGUGCGUAAUGCAUCGGAACGUGCCCAGAGGUGGGGGAUAACGCAGCGAAAGCUGUGCUAAUACCGCAUGUGAUCUGAGGAUGAAAGCGGGGGACCAGGCAGCAAUGUUUGGCCUCGCGCCUUUGGAGCGGCCGAUGUCAGAUUAGGUAGUUGGUGGGGUAAAGGCCUACCAAGCCGACGAUCUGUAGCUGGUCUGAGAGGACGACCGGCCACACUGGGACUGAGACACGGCCCAGACUCCUACGGGAGGCAGCAGUGGGGAAUUUUGGACAAUGGGCGCAAGCCUGAUCCAGCAAUGCCGCGUGCGGGAAGAAGGCCUUCGGGUUGUAAACCGCUUUUGUACGGAACGAAAAGGCUCUGGCUAAUACCUGGGGCUGAUGACGGUACCGUAAGAAUAAGCACCGGCUAACUACGUG